rnacentral:lncRNA from 1 species
GCCCACAGGCCCAUUUCCAAGGCGAUUCUAAUUUCUGUUAAGUUGACAAUUUAUAAUAAUGAUCACAGGACUUAAUAAUUUUGUUUUUAUUGCCUCCCUCAGGAUAUAAGGGGAAAGAGUGUUUCAUCUUCAGGACCCACAAGGUAGAAAAGAAAACCAUUCUCAAAACAUGUCCUCUAAUCUCACAGGUCCACAGAGAUUGCCUCGGUGCAGCAAAACCCAGCUGGUGUGUAUCCAGUUGACAGGCUGACGAAGAGGGGUGGGAAGGGGAUGAGCCACACAACUCCUGGUCUGGAAGAAAGACACAGCAGAAAUAGCACAUUGUGGAUUCCAAUAUAAAGUACUCAAUUUUGGAUAAUAAAAUAAGGACUUUGGAAAGAUUUUACCUGGAA